rnacentral:ncRNA from 1 species
UUCGGUGUCGCGCCUCGGCGCGAUGAAAAGGGAACCGGGUGAGAAUCCCGGACAGACCCGCUGCUGUGAGUCUCCCGUUAAGCUCUCUACGGCACCCGUGUGCCACUGUCCGUCUCUGUGCGGAUGGGAAGGUCUGCCAUGAGAGAGGGGGCGAGUCAGAAGACCUGCCGGAACAGAUA